rnacentral:lncRNA from 1 species
GACAAUAAUAAUUCAACUUUAUUAUAUAAUCAUAGAAAGAGUAGAGCCUGAUAAAUAGAAUGGAGAAACAAAAGGGAGUUUAUUUACAAGAUUUGUGGAUCAUUACCAUCACUAGUUGAAAGGAAGCACUAAUAGACUAAUUAAGUUGAUAAUGACAACAAAACAUCUACAUCAUUUAAUCAAUUUGACAAGAAAUUUUGGAUCAUAAUUAUUAUUUUUUUCUCCCAACAGCAGCAGUACUAAGGCAUUGAUACAUUAUGUUAAGCUGUGACAGAUGUCUCAACAGCAACACCUGAGUAGUUAACUUCAGCCACCCUGUCAACUUCCCAAAGUUGUGGUAAUGCUUCCCUUAUGUUGUGGAUGCUUUCUAAUGCAUAAUCUGCUCCUACAACUCUUUGUGAAUUGCCAACCUGAAAAUAACAAGCAACAACACUACAACAUUAGCAACACAACAAAACAAGAGGUAACGGGUUCGAGCCCUAGGUUCAGCCACUGAUGCUUGCAUUAGAUUAGGCAGCUCGAGCCCUAGGUUCAGCCACUGAUGCUUGCAUUAGAUUAGGCAGCCUACAUCACACCUCUUAGUGUACGGUCCCUCCCCUGUGAGAACAUGAGAUGCUUUGUGCACUGGACUGCUUUUAGUGCACAAGAUUGCUCCAGUAAAUACUAUUCCCUCUGUUUCAUUUGUUAUGAUAGUGUUUGACAUGCACAUACUUUUUGAAAGAAAAUUUCGCCCACGUACCGUAAAAUAAUCUCUAGAAUGACUUGUCGUCUUAAACAUGCCAUGAUAAUUUUAUGGUUAUAAGAGCAUGUUAUUAAUGGUUAAAUGCAAAAUUGAAGUUAAAGAAUUUCCGAAUAUAUAAUGGUGCCAUUAUUUUUCAGACCGAAAAGAAAAGAGUAUCAUAGAAAAUAAAACAUAAGGAAUACAACUUACCAGUACUGUAUCAAGACCAACACGCUUGCCAGCUUGAAUGUUACGGACACUAUCUUCAAAGAAAAGCUGAAAAAAUGGAAACAUUCCAAAUCA